rfam:Camelus ferus unplaced genomic scaffold scaffold571, whole genome shotgun sequence.
GAGAGUAUAGCUCAGUGGUAGAGUGCAUGCCUAGCAUGCAUGAGGUCCUGGGUUCAAUCCCCAGUACCUCCA